rnacentral:rRNA from 1 species
AUUGAACGCUGGCGGCAGGCCUAACACAUGCAAGUCGAACGAGUGGCGGACGGGUGAGUAAUGUCUGGGAAAAUGCCUGAUGGAGGGGGAUAACUAAUGGAAACGGUAGCUAAUACCGCCUACCAUCGGAUGUGCCCAGAUGGGAUUAGCUAGUAGGUGGGGUAACGGAUCACAGAGGCGACGAUCCCGAGCUGGUCUGAGAGGAUGACCAGCCAGACUGGACAGGAGACACGUCCCAGACUCCGAUGGGAGGCAGCAGUGGGGAAUAUUGCACAAUGGGCGAAAGCCUGAUGCAGCCAUGCCGCGUGUGUGAAGAAGGCCUUCGGGUUAUAAAGCACGUUCAGCGGGGAGGCGUUACCCGCAGAAGAAGCACCGGCUAACUCCGUGCCAGCCGCGGCGGUAAUAC